rnacentral:lncRNA from 1 species
AAUUAUAAUAAAGUUGAUGUGAAUGUAAGAGGUUGUGUUAAAUGGGCAUAUAAUAUCGUCUCAUAUCGAUCGCAUGCCCCUGAAUCUAAAUCGUAUCGCGGCAGACUUUUGAUAUCUACAAAUAUCGUAUCGUUGUCCAAUGAAUCCAGUGAUGAAACCAGAGAUUUACACCCCCAAAAAACACUAAAUGAAUGUUGUAUUUUCCUGCUGCAUCAGACGAGCAGUUGUAUUACAGCUUCCAGGGAAAACCACGCUUGGUGGUGUGUAACCAGGGAGACGCCGAACAACAGAAAAAGUAUUGGCGUCCUACCAUUGGAAAACACUGAGGGAGGAUGUAAAAAAAUGGCCACGGACAGAGGUUUGCAUGCUGGACAAAUGAGGCCACAGCAUUGCUCCAAGGAUCACUGCAGCCGAUCUACAGGAUCCCGAAGACCAGAAAAAGGGAUCAUGAGAUGAGAAUGAUGUUGAUGGCAGAGGACACCCAGGGUUAUGCUCCUUUUUGUUAUAGACUCUUUAAUGCAAUUCAGGUUUCUUAUUCUUACAUGUCUAUAUUGAUACAUAAAUAAUUUUCCCUCAAAGGUUCAGUUUGAAAAGGCCGACAGGUGCUUCAUAUUGGAGGUAAUCUUUCCCUUUUUUUUAACUAGAACCUGUACACCUAAACAUCAGGGGAAUGUGUUAAUAAGCUUGAUUUUUCCUGACCUAUAUUUUACAGAUGCCAACAUCUGUGCUUGAUGAAAUCCACAAAGAGGUGGUGCUCCAGGAAGGAGAUAAUGUCUACCUGACAUUGGCCCUGGUGUGUACCACAUUCAGAGACAUUGUGUCCACCAAUUAUUUGAGAAGACGGGCACAUUUUCAGUGGCUUGACAGUAAGUUAUUUAAUAGCAGUGGUAUACAAUACUUAAGUACUGUGGUGUUUUGAAUAUCUCUAUGGAAAUGUGCUCUUUUGACUCACAAUUUUGGUACACAGGUGUUGCUACAUGGAGUAGGUUUUCUGCAACGUACAAAAAAGCUUUCUGCACCAUGUACUGACACCUGUAUUGACAUACUGUAUUGACACCUGCCUUGGAUGUGGACGACUAUAUAAAAACUGCACACCAGGUAUACAUCUUAUACAGUACUUGAUAGUGUUGGUAUCUGAUUACACACAGUAUCAUAACUAUGCAUUGAUCACAUCUGUAGAGGUCACUUGUCAGUAUGUUUUUUUACCUUCCUUUUUGUUUUACAGGAUAUGUUGGGACAGGAAAAAGGGGAGCGCUAGAAGCAAUCUAUUCCGAAGCUGAAGAUCCGGGAUACUGCAAUCACUUCUGCAGCCAAUUGCAAUCGGUAAACAUAAGUUUAACACAAACACAAAUCCUAGACUAAAUUAUGUCACUGAAAUGUAUGUAGGUCUACAAAAAGACCCUUGAAACUAAUUGAGUGAUGUAACUUAUUUAAGGACCCUUAAGAUACAGUGCCGUCAAAAGUAUUCAAACCUUACAAUAAAAAAAAAACUACAUUUCCCUCAGUGAUCUCCACUCUGUGCCCUGUAAUGACAAUAAUUUCAUUCAUUUUUUUUUUUUUUUUUUUUUUUUCAGUGUUCAAUUUUUUUUUAAUUGAACACUGAAUUUUAUCUUUAUCGUUUUUGCAAAUCUUUAAAACCUAUGCCAUUUUCAAUUGUGAAUGAAGCAACUACCAUGGACGUGUCAGUUACAAACUUAACUUCUUGACACUAUAUCUGCACAUCUUUGCUUGUUGCAGGUGUCCCUCUUGCCUGUCCUCCAGCCCCUGCACGUCGAGAGGAGCAGACACCCGUUUGUGCCCAGAGGACAUUACUCACAUGUUGGACUUUUGAGAAUACUUUGCAAAAUCUCAUGACACUGUUAUUGUUGUAAAUAUAUAUAUAUAGUUAUAUGUCCUUAAGAUGUUCAUGUUAAUGUUUGUGUUGUUGUUUCUGCAUACAAGGUUGACCUGUACUUAGUUUGUUUCGAUUGAAUAUGCAUGUUAAGUAUUACCUUAGUUUGUUUCACUAGUCACUUUUGUUGUACAUAGUAACUUUAAAUUGUUACCUUUUUUCCACAUUUGUAUAUAGUCACUGUUAGUACCUGGAAGCAGUAGGAGUGAGCUGCCUUUUCUUUUGACUUGUUUUCUCAUGUUUUUUCAUAGUUUAGGAUGUUAGUUUUAGUGAUGGUCUUUUUUAUUAUUUACUUUGACAUAGGGUUUAGGUAGCUUGAACUUCCCUUUAAAAUCUAGUUUGUUUUGUUUAAUUAUUUUGGCCUUGGUUCACUCCGAAGAGAAGCUUCAUUUUCAGUUUGGUGUAUUGUUUGUGUGCUAAGCAGCAAUAAACUGCUUGUCAUUUUGACUACGCGUGUGUGGACUCCUAUUUAUGUUA